rnacentral:rRNA from 1 species
AUUGAACGCUGGCGGCAUGCCUUACACAUGCAAGUCGAACGGUAACGGGCCUUCGGGUGCCGACGAGUGGCGCACGGGUGAGUAAUACAUCGGAACGUGCCCGAUCGUGGGGGAUAACGAGGCGAAAGCUUUGCUAAUACCGCAGACGAUCUACGGAUGAAAGCAGGGGACCGCAAGGCCUUGCGCGGACGGAGCGGCCGAUGGCAGAUUAGGUAGUUGGUGGGAUAAAAGCUUACCAAGCCGACGAUCUGUAGCUGGUCUGAGAGGAUGAUCAGCCACACUGGGACUGAGACACGGCCCAGACUCCUACGGGAGGCAGCAGUGGGGAAUUUUGGACAAUGGGCGCAAGCCUGAUCCAGCCAUGCCGCGUGCAGGAUGAAGGCCUUCGGGUUGUAAACUGCUUUUGUACGGAACGAAAAGCCUUCUUUUAAUACAGGAGGGUCAUGACGGUACCGUAAGAAUAAGCACCGGCUAACUACGUG